rnacentral:rRNA from 1 species
UACGUAGGGUGCGAGCGUUGUCCGGAAUUAUUUGGGCGUAAAGAGCUCGUAGGCGGUUUGUCACGUCUGCUGUGAAAUCCCGAGGCUCAACCUCGGGCCUGCAGUGGGUACGGGCAGACUGGAGUGCGGUAGGGGAGAUUGGAAUCCUGGUGUAGCGGUGAAAUGCGCAGAUAUCAGGAGGAACACCGGUGGCGAAGGCGGGUCUCUGGGCCGAUACUGACGCUGAGGAGCGAAAGCGUGGGGAGCGAACAGG